rnacentral:tRNA from 1 species
CCGUCGAAAGCUCAGUUGGUAGAGCGGUGGACUGUAGAUCCAUAGGUCGCUGGUUUGAUUCCGGCUCGACGAA